rnacentral:rRNA from 1 species
AUUGAACGCUGGCGGCAGGCCUUACACUUGCAAGUAGAGCGGCGCGGCGGACGCGUGAGUAAUGCCUAGGAAUCUGCCUGGUAGUGGGGGAUCACGUCCGGAAACGGGCGCUAAUACCGCAUAUUACUAGAUGCGCCUAGGUCGGAUUAGCUAGUUGGUGGGGUAAAGGCCUACCAAGGCGACGAUCCGUAACUGGUCUGAGAGGAUGAUCAGUCACACUGGAACUGAGACACGGCCCAGACGCCUACGGGAGGGAGCAGGGGGGAAGAUUGGACAAGGGGCGAAAGCCUGAUCCAGCCAUGCCGCGUGUGGGAAGAAGGUCUUCGGAUGGUAAAGCACUUGAAGUUGGGAGGCGUUACCAACAGAAUAAGCACCGGCUAACUUCGUGCCAGCAGCCGCGGUAAUAC